UUCUUCACUCCCUUUUGAUUUCAAUUUUAGCUUUCCAUUUUCCUUUUAAAAUCAUUCAAAGUUCAAACCCUAAUAAUGAUUUGAUUUUUGAAUCAUAACUAUUCGACAUCAAUUCAAUAUCUAACCAUAAUCAACCCUAGCACUUAAACCCUCACUUUCAUUUUUUUUGUCGCAAAUCCCUAAUCGUGAAUCUGAAAUUGGUUGUUCUAUUGAUCUGUUCCGCUACUACGCAAUUUAUAAUUUUGCAAUCGCUCAUUCUGCUGCUUGGAAAUCUGCAGUUUUGUAGUCGACAUUUCAGGGGUUGUACAGAGACUUGAUCUUUCUAAGUCAAAAGCUUCAGUUCUAUCAUCUUCGAUUAGGAGAUAGUAUGCUGGUGCAAUUUUCUUGUGGGUGUUUCAAUGUUUUCAUUCGGUCUAAAAGAAGAGGUGCAUAUCAGCUACUUUGAAUUUUUCAGCUGCCUUCAUUUCAUAGAUUCUUUUAAAGAUAUAGAUGCUUCUUCAGCAAAGAGAUGUACGAGGAAAAUGACAGACAUUGUUGAAGCCAAGUUUAAAGAAGUGAUGACUUCAUUCGAGGCCAUAAAAUAGUAAAGAAAUAACCAAAAUUUGUAAUUGUCAAACUCUUCCUAUUCAUCCCAGGAUCGGAAAGGAUGUGAGGUAUUCCAAGUAAUUAAUAAAGUUCAUUUAAUUUUCAUCCAGC